CACGGUUGCUUUACCAUCCCAUAAACGUUUCAGUUCGGAUUGCAGGCUGCAACUCGCUUGCAUGAAGCUGGAAUCGCUAGUAAUCGCGGAUCAGCAUGCCGCGGUGAAUACGUUCCCGGGCCUUGUACACACCGCCCGUCACACCACGAGAGUUUGUAACACCCGAAGUCGGUGAGGUAACCUUUUGGAGCCAGCCGCCUAAGGUGGACAGAUAAUGGGGG
rnacentral:rRNA from 1 species